GGGGACGACUGGUUUUGACAGCAAGGUCAGUAAAAUUGUAAGCAUACCAAGGAGUGAAAUGACUACUUGUAAAACUUAUUUCAAAACUAUAAACGGCGAAGAUAACUACGCUUUAGCUGCAUAAUCUGAAUCAUAGUAGGAUUAGCCUCGGUGCACAAGGUGCACAAGCUAAAUGUCCACAAAAAGCCUUGGUUUACGGCGUUUUACUUUUGGGCAUCGUAAAAGUAAACAUAGAGGAUCUACAGCUUCGGUAGGUUUUCGAAAUUUUAGAAGCUAAGUGAAAAGUAGGUGGUUUUUGAUCAGCUUUUCAACGAAAACCAAACAAAAACUAAGUAUGUAGAAAGCACUUGAGCUGCUUGUUUGGACCCGAGUUCGAUUCUCGGCGUCUCCACAU
rnacentral:tmRNA from 1 species